AAUUAUUCAAUUUUUAUACGACCGCAAAAUUUGAAAAAUUUUUCGUCGUAUAUUGCUAUCACGUUGGCGUCGUCGUCUGCGUCGUCGUCGUCCGAAUACUUUUAGUUUUCGCACUCUAACUUUAGUAAAAGUGAAUAGAAAUCUAUGAAAUUUUAACACAAGGUUUAUGACCACAAAAGGAAGGUUGGGAUUGAUUUUGAGAGUUUUUGUCCCAACAUUUUAGGAAUUAGGGGCCAAAAAGGGCCC
rnacentral:lncRNA from 1 species